rnacentral:misc_RNA from 1 species
GAUGAAGAACGCAGCGAAAUGCGAUAAGUAGUGUGAAUUGCAGAAUUCAGUGAAUCAUCGAAUCUUUGAACGCACAUUGCGCCCCUUGGUAUUCCAUGGGGCAUGCCUGUUCGAGCGUCAUUUGUACCCUCCAGCCCUGCUGGGUAUUGGGCGUUUUGUUCCGCUACGCGCGUGAACUCGCCUCAAAUGCAUUGGCAGCCCGCCGUCCCGUGUGGGAGCGCAGCACAUUUUGCGCUCUCCGCUGCUGACGGUGGCAUCCACAAGUUUACCAUUUUACGCUUGACCUCGGAUCAGGUAGGGAUACCCGCUGAACUUAAGCAUAUCAAUAAGCGGAGGA